rnacentral:rRNA from 1 species
ACGAACGCUGGCGGCGUGCCUCAUACAUGCAAGUCGAGCGGACGGAUGGGAGCUUGCUCCCAGACCGUCAGCGGCGGACGGGUGAGUAACACGUGGGCAACCUGCCUGUAAGACUGGGAUAACUCCGGGAAACCGGGGCUAAUACCGGAUAACUCUUUCCCUCACAUGAGGGAAAGCUGAAAGAUGGCAUCUCGCUAUCACUUACAGAUGGGCCCGCGGCGCAUUAGCUAGUUGGUGAGGUAACGGCUCACCAAGGCGACGAUGCGUAGCCGACCUGAGAGGGUGAUCGGCCACACUGGGACUGAGACACGGCCCAGACUCCUACGGGAGGCAGCAGUAGGGAAUCUUCCGCAAUGGACGAAAGUCUGACGGAGCAACGCCGCGUGAGUGAUGAAGGUUUUCGGAUCGUAAAACUCUGUUGUCAGGGAAGAACAAGUACCGGAGUAACUGCCGGUACCUUGACGGUACCUGACCAGAAAGCCACGGCUAACUACGUG